AGAGUUUGAUCAUGGCUCAGAUUGAACGCUGGCGGCAUGCUUUACACAUGCAAGUCGAGCGGCAGCGCGGGGGCAACCCUGGCGGCGAGCGGCGAACGGGUGAGUAACACAUCGGAACGUGUCCCGUAGUGGGGGAUAGCCCGGCGAAAGCCGGAUUAAUACCGCAUAUGCUCUACGGAGGAAAGCGGGGGAUUCGCAAGAACCUCGCGCUAUGGGAGCGGCCGAUGUCCGAUUAGCUUGUUGGUGAGGUAAAGGCUCACCAAGGCGACGAUCGGUAGCUGGUCUGAGAGGAUGAUCAGCCACACUGGGACUGAGACACGGCCCAGACUCCUACGGGAGGCAGCAGUGGGGAAUUUUGGACAAUGGGGGAAACCCUGAUCCAGCCAUGCCGCGUGAGUGAAGAAGGCCUUCGGGUUGUAAAGCUCUUUUGGCCGGAAAGAAAAGAUCUCGUCUAAUACACGAGGUUCUUGACGGUACCGGCAGAAUAAGCACCGGCUAACUACGUGCCAGCAGCCGCGGUAAUACGUAGGGUGCGAGCGUUAAUCGGAAUUACUGGGCGUAAAGAGUGCGUAGGCGGUUCUUUGUGUCCGCUGUGAAAUCCCCGGGCUUAACCUGGGAAUGGCAGUGGAAACUAGAGGACUUGAAUCCGGCAGAGGGGGGUGGAAUGCCACGUGUAGCAGUGAAAUGCGUAGAUAUGUGGCGGAACACCGAUGGCGAAGGCAGCCCCCUGGGCUGAGAUUGACGCUCAGGCACGAAAGCGUGGGGAGCAAACAGGAUUAGAUACCCUAGUAGUCC
rnacentral:rRNA from 1 species